rnacentral:rRNA from 1 species
AUUGAACGCUGGCGGCAUGCUUUACACAUGCAAGUCGAACGGCAGCGCGGGCUUCGGCCUGGCGGCGAGUGGCGAACGGGUGAGUAAUGCAUCGGAACGUGCCCAGUAGUGGGGGAUAGCCCGGCGAAAGCCGGAUUAAUACCGCAUACGACCUGAGGGUGAAAGCGGGGGACCGAAAGGCCUCGCGCUAUUGGAGCGGCCGAUGUCGGAUUAGCUAGUUGGUGGGGUAAAGGCUUACCAAGGCGACGAUCCGUAGCUGGUCUGAGAGGACGACCAGCCACACUGGAACUGAGACACGGCCCAGACUCCUACGGGAGGCAGCAGUGGGGAAUUUUGGACAAUGGGGGCAAGCCUGAUCCAGCCAUGCCGCGUGCGGGAAGAAGGCCUUCGGGUUGUAAACCGCUUUUGUUCGGGAAGAAAUCCUCUGGGCUAAUACCCCGGGGGGAUGACGGUACCGGAAGAAUAAGCACCGGCUAACUACGUG